rnacentral:rRNA from 1 species
UGCCAGCCGCCGCGGUAAUACGUACCGGACAAACGUUAUUCGGAAUCACUGGGCUUAAAGAGUACGUAGGCUGUCUUGUAGGUGAGGUGUGAAAUCCCACGGCCCAACCGUGGGACUGCGCUUCAAACCACAAGACUUGAGGGAGACAGGGGUGAGCGGAACUGAUGGUGGAGCGGUGAAAUGCGUUGAUAUCAUCAGGAACACCGGUGGCGAAGGCGGCUCACUGGCUCGAUACUGACGCUGAGGUGCGAAAGUGUGGGGAGCAAGCAGGAUUAGAUA